rnacentral:rRNA from 1 species
AACGAACGCUGGCGGCAUGCCUAACACAUGCAAGUCGAACGAUGCCUUCGGGUAUAGUGGCGCACGGGUGCGUAACGCGUGGGAAUCUGCCUUUCGGUUCGGAAUAACUCAGGGAAACUUGAGCUAAUACCGGAUAACGUCGCAAGACCAAAGAUUUAUCACCGAAAGAUGAGCCCGCGUAGGAUUAGCUAGUUGGUGAGGUAAAGGCUCACCAAGGCGACGAUCCUUAGCUGGUCUGAGAGGAUGAUCAGCCACACUGGGACUGAGACACGGCCCAGACUCCUACGGGAGGCAGCAGUGGGGAAUAUUGGACAAUGGGCGAAAGCCUGAUCCAGCAAUGCCGCGUGAGUGAUGAAGGCCUUAGGGUUGUAAAGCUCUUUUACCCGGGAAGAUAAUGACGGUACCGGGAGAAUAAGCCCCGGCUAACUCCGUG